UACACAAUGUCGGAAAAACGAAUAUUUUUGAUAAAAAUAAACAUGAAAGUAAUAUAGUUCUUUCUUGUGUAA
rnacentral:tRNA from 1 species